CGGGAGGUGCGCGAGGCGAGCGGUGGCGCCGGCUUUGUGCUCAGCCACGACCAGCGCUCCGGGGCGGGUCGGGGCGCCUGAAGUGGGGAGGAUUGGCGGCGAGGCGCCGGCUCCAGCAUCUCGCUGCCCCCGGAGAAAGCCUCCGAGCUGAAGCAGCUCAUCCACCAGCAGCUGAGCAAGAUCCCAUGUGUGGCCCAAGAAAACUGGAAGUAGUAAAAGUCAAAUCUCAAAAAAUCACUAUUCGGUACAUUUGGAUAUAAUGUAACUUGUUGCCAUAGUUAUAAUCUUACAGUCCACUACUGUCACCAAGUUGGAGGACAGGAACAUGUGCGAAAAUGCCAGGUGCCGUUCCUACUGAAUCCAUCCGAGGAAGUACCUUUGAAGAGAAGAUGUUUCUUCAAUGGCAAGAACCCAUUCAAACAUAUAGUGUCAUCAGUUUAUAUGAGCCUACUUAUGAAGAGUGACAAGAGGACCCUAGAGCUCUGUGCUCCCGGAUAAACCCACAGCUCCUACCUCAGCCCUCACGUCUCACAUCACUCUGCCUUGAGAUCAUCAGAAUUCAUCUCAUUAUGCCCUUUUUCUCAAGAAGCCCAAUAAAGGUGAAGACCAUUCCAAGAAUUAGGUGCUGAUAGCUGACCAACUCUUUCAGUAGUAGCCAAUUUCUUCAGUGACUGACUGCUGACUCCAGACCUACGACCCAGCCUUCUAGACAAAUCGGGGAAAAGGAUAAAGGACAUUUUGAUGCUCCCAAUAACUGUACACGUACACGAACUGUUCAGUAAGUGGCUUUUUCCUGAUUUUAUUUCUAUUAAUGUUUUCUUUCUGACAUGAGGACGGUGAACCGAUGUUUAUCAAAAAUUCUUAUCAAACACACCAGAAGGAACAAUGCCAUACAGGGAUGCAGUGGGAGAGCUAUUAGGGGCCAAAGAGCUGGAAAUGAGAAGACCUGAAUGAAUGACGAAGAGCCCUGGCAUAGCUCCUGAAGAUGCGAGUGUGAACAUUUCCACUGUAAACCCACUGAACGGAAGACUGGAAAACUGGAUAUUAUAAUUUAUUUAGAACCGAUGCUCAUAGUAUAAAGAAAAAUUCAUUCUGAGGCUGCUUAUUCAUUUUUUGAAUAUAAUAAUUUUUAUCUAAA